UUGUACCUGGUGUGAUUAUAAAGCAAUGAGACUGAUUGUCAUGUGUAGUUUGUGGGAUCCGUCUCAGUUACUUUAUAGCCAUACCUGGUAUCUUA
ensembl:miRNA MIR340 microRNA 340